AGAUAUCUCCACAGGACCUUCUUGGUUAAAUCAGGGACUACUUUUGAACUCUACCCAAUCAGUUUCAAAUUUAGACCUGACCACUAGUACUACCUUACCCCAGUCAAGUGUAAACCAAGGGCUGUGCUUGGAUACUGAAGUGGCCUUAGCAGCUGGGCAGUUUCUCGCCCCAAACAGUCACCAGUCCAGCAGUGCGGCUUCUCACUGCUCUGAGUCCCGCGGCGAGACCCCCUGUUCAUUCAACGAUGAAGAUGAGGAAGAUGAGGAGGAGGAUUCUUCCUCCCCAGAAUAAAGACAGGAGAAAAUUCACAUUUUAAUGUUU